rnacentral:rRNA from 1 species
UACGAGGGUGCAAACGUUAUUCGGAUUUAUUGGGUGUAAAGGGUGUGUAGACGGUUUAUUAAGUUCGUUGUUAAAUCUUUCGGCUCAACCGGAAGCUUGCGGUGAAAACUGAUAGACUAGAGGAUGAAAGAGAGGAGUGGAAUUCUCGGAGUAGCGGUAAAAUGCGUAGAUCUCGAGAGGAACACCGAUGGCGAAAGCAGCUCCUUGGUUCAUUCCUGACGUUGAAACACGAAAGCGUGGGGAGCAAACAGGAUUAGAAACCCGAGUAGU